rnacentral:rRNA from 1 species
GAGUUAUCUGAACCUUCGGGGAACGAUAACGGCGUCGAGCGGCGGACGGGUGAGUAAUGCCUAGGAAAUUGCCCUGAUGUGGGGGAUAACCAUUGGAAACGAUGGCUAAUACCGCAUAAUGCCUACGGGCCAAAGAGGGGGACCUUCGGGCCUCUCGCGUCAGGAUAUGCCUAGGUGGGAUUAGCUAGUUGGUGAGGUAAUGGCUCACCAAGGCGACGAUCCCUAGCUGGUCUGAGAGGAUGAUCAGCCACACUGGAACUGAGACACGGUCCAGACUCCUACGGGAGGCAGCAGUGGGGAAUAUUGCACAAUGGGCGCAAGCCUGAUGCAGCCAUGCCGCGUGUGUGAAGAAGGCCUUCGGGUUGUAAAGCACUUUCAGUCGUGAGGAAGGUGGUGUAGUUAAUAGCUGCAUUAUUUGACGUUAGCGACAGAAGAAGCACCGGCUAACUCCGUGCCAGCAGCCGCGGUAAUACGGAGGGUGCGAGCGUUAAUCGGAAUUACUGGGCGUAAAGCGCAUGCAGGUGGUUUGUUAAGUCAGAUGUGAAAGCCCGGGGCUCAACCUCGGAAUAGCAUUUGAAACUGGCAGACUAGAGUACUGUAGAGGGGGGUAGAAUUUCAGGUGUAGCGGUGAAAUGCGUAGAGAUCUGAAGGAAUACCGGUGGCGAAGGCGGCCCCCUGGACAGAUACUGACACUCAGAUGCGAAAGCGUGGGGAGCAAACAGGAUUAGAUACCCUGGUAGUCCACGCCGUAAACGAUGUCUACUUGGAGGUUGUGGCCUUGAGCCGUGGCUUUCGGAGCUAACGCGUUAAGUAGACCGCCUGGGGAGUACGGUCGCAAGAUUAAAACUCAAAUGAAUUGACGGGGGCCCGCACAAGCGGUGGAGCAUGUGGUUUAAUUCGAUGCAACGCGAAGAACCUUACCUACUCUUGACAUCCAGAGAACUUUCCAGAGAUGGAUUGGUGCCUUCGGGAACUCUGAGACAGGUGCUGCAUGGCUGUCGUCAGCUCGUGUUGUGAAAUGUUGGGUUAAGUCCCGCAACGAGCGCAACCCUUAUCCUUGUUUGCCAGCGAGUAAUGUCGGGAACUCCAGGGAGACUGCCGGUGAUAAACCGGAGGAAGGUGGGGACGACGUCAAGUCAUCAUGGCCCUUACGAGUAGGGCUACACACGUGCUACAAUGGCGCAUACAGAGGGCAGCAAGCUAGCGAUAGUGAGCGAAUCCCAAAAAGUGCGUCGUAGUCCGGAUUGGAGUCUGCAACUCGACUCCAUGAAGUCGGAAUCGCUAGUAAUCGUGGAUCAGAAUGCCACGGUGAAUACGUUCCCGGGCCUUGUACACACCGCCCGUCACACCAUGGGAGUGGGCUGCAAAAGAAGUAGGUAGUUU